GAGUUUGAUCGUGGCUCAGAUUGAACGCUGGCGGCAUGCCUUACACAUGCAAGUCGAACGGCAGCACGGGAGCUUGCUCCUGGUGGCGAGUGGCGAACGGGUGAGUAAUGCAUCGGAACGUAUCCUGGAGUAGGGGAUAACGUAGCGAAAGUUACGCUAAUACCGCAUAUUCUGUGAGCAGGAAAGCGGGGGACCUUCGGGCCUCGCGCUCUUGGAGCGGCCGAUGUCGGAUUAGCUAGUUGGUGAGGUAAAGGCUCACCAAGGCGACGAUCCGUAGCAGGUCUGAGAGGAUGAUCUGCCACACUGGAACUGAGACACGGUCCAGGCUCCUACGGGAGGCAGCAGUGGGGAAUUUUGGACAAUGGGGGCAACCCUGAUCCAGCAACGCCGCGUGAAGGAAGAAGGCUUUCGGGUUGUAAACUUCUUUGUACAGGGAAGAGUAGAAGACGGUACCCGUGAAACAAGACCACGGCUAACUAACGUGCCAGCAGCCGCCGCCGU
rnacentral:rRNA from 1 species